CUUUGGGUGGCGAGUGGCGGACGGGUGAGUAAUGUCUGGGAAACUGCCCGAUGGAGGGGGAUAACUACUGGAAACGGUAGCUAAUACCGCAUAACGUCGCAAGACCAAAGUGGGGGACCUUCGGGCCUCACACCAUCGGAUGUGCCCAGAUGGGAUUAGCUAGUAGGUGGGGUAAUGGCUCACCUAGGCGACGAUCCCUAGCUGGUCUGAGAGGAUGACCAGCCACACUGGAACUGAGACACGGUCCAGACUCCUACGGGAGGCAGCAGUGGGGAAUAUUGCACAAUGGGCGCAAGCCUGAUGCAGCCAUGCCGCGUGUAUGAAGAAGGCCUUCGGGUUGUAAAGUACUUUCAUC
rnacentral:rRNA from 1 species